AAUUUUCCAACAACUGAAAUUCAAAAAAAAAAAAAAAAAAAAAGGGGUCCUGGCAUUACUUUGUCUCUUUCACCUAAACCCAAAAACAGAGCUCCGUUCUUUACAUCAAACAUUCGGCAUUCAAAUCGGUGAGCAGAGCGGCAGAAAUUGGAACGAAACUUUGCACAUCCAGCUCACUCUCUCUUGUCUUUGCUUAGCUAGACACCAGUCCAAGCUUCCAAGAGGAAAUUGCCCGAAAUCCUUCACUCUCUCUCUUUCUCGUCGGUUGUUGUCCGCCAUUGUUGACCUUCCACCAGAUAUCUGAGCUUCCACCAGACGCCAUUUGCACGCCAGCCAGCUGCCAUUUCUGCCUCAGCAGUCAUCCCCAACCAAUUUUGUGACCCAUUGCGCUGCACAUUUUCUUUUCCCUUCGCAAAUGGCUUUCAAAUUCGUGGCUGUGCUUUGUAGCGCACAAACAGCAUAAAAGAUCCAAAAAGGUAUAUCAGAACAAGCAAGAUCUGCGGGAACGAGGUGGUUCAUCUGAACAAAUCCCUCAUUGCACCCCAGAUCCUCUGUACCUUAUCUUGGUUUUCUGUGAUCUCCAUCAUAUUCAUAUAGGUGCAUACAAAGUUUUCGACACAAGCCAGGAGACUUGAAGAGGCUUUGAUUGGUACCACUAGGAUCAAGUCCGCACAAGUGCAUCUUCAGAAUCUGAGGCAAAUCAUUGGUUGCAGAGAAUGGACACUCGCUUGGCACGUAAAGAUGAUCAUUUAGGCAUUACUCCACCUCAGGGUGGAGCUGCAGAUGAAGAUGACGAUUGAAGCUGCACCAUUAGGAUCACUAUAUUAUUUGUACAUGGAUUUGCUUGCAUUUUGUUUUUAAUCUGUGGAAUGUUGGAUGUUUAACUUGAUUUUACUUUUUCUGUUUUUUAAUUCACUAAAGACUUGUGCUUUUGCAGUGGUUUGUGAUUAUUGGCUGACAAGUUGUUGGAAAUAUUGCUUGGAUUAAA